ensembl:scaRNA
GACCUCUCUCCCACAGGGACAUAUGCGAUCGUUUUUCUCUUCAGCCAGGGCUGGAGGUCAAGACAGCCCUUGAAAAUCACCAUCAGGACUGCUGAGAGCUGGGCAGCCUUGUUUACCUCCCUCGGGCAUUU